rnacentral:rRNA from 1 species
UAUAUGUUUAACGGCCGCGGUAUUUUGACCGUGCGAAGGUAGCGCAAUCACUUGUCUUUUAAAUGAAGACCUGUAUGAAUGGCAUAACGAGGGCUAAGCUGUCUCCUUUUUCCAGUCAAUGAAAUUGAUCUGCCCGUGCAGAAGCGGGCAUAAGAACAUAAGACGAGAAGACCCUAUGGAGCUUCAGACACCAGGAUAGACUGUGUUAAAGACCCUUAAUUAAAAGACUAAACCAAACAGCCCCUGUCCCCUUGUCUUUGGUUGGGGCGACCGCGGGGUAACAAACAACCCCCAUGUGGAACAAGGGAAUCCCCUUUAAGACCAGGGCCACAGCCCUAAUAAGCAGAACAUCUGACCAUCAAGAUCCGGUUUUACCGAUCAACGGACCUAGUUACCCUAGGGAUAACAGCGCAAUCCUCUUUUAGAGCCCAUAUCGACAAGAGGGUUUACGACCUCGAUGUUGGAUCAGGACAUCCUAAUGGUGCAGCCGCUAUUAAGGGUUCGUUUGUUCAACGAUUAAAGUCCUACGUGAUCUGAGUUCAGAC